rnacentral:rRNA from 1 species
UACAGAGGGGCCAAGCGUUAGGCGGAAUCACUGGGCUUAAAGCGUGUGUAGGCGGGUCGUUAAGUACCUUGUGAAAUCCCACGGCUCAACCGUGGAACUGCUCGGUAUACUGGCGAUCUUGGGCCACUUAGGGGCUAGCGGAACAAACGGUGGAGCGGUGAAAUGCGUAGAUAUCGAGAGGAACACCUGCGGCGAAGGCGGGUUGCUGGGCUGACACUGACGCUGAGGCGCGAAAGCCAGGGGAGCGAACGGG